rnacentral:rRNA from 1 species
AUUGAACGCUGGCGGCAUGCUUUACACAUGCAAGUCGAACGGCAGCGCGGGGGCAACCCUGGCGGCGAGUGGCGAACGGGUGAGUAAUGUAUCGGAACGUAUCCUGUAAUGGGGGAUAACCAGUCGAAAGAUUGGGUAAUACCGCAUACGCACGAGAGUGGAAAGUAGGGGAUCGCAAGACCUUACGUUAUAGGAGCGGCCGAUAUCUGAUUAGCUAGUUGGUGGGGUAAAGGCCUACCAAGGCGACGAUCAGUAGCUGGUCUGAGAGGACGACCAGCCACACUGGAACUGAGACACGGUCCAGACUCCUACGGGAGGCAGCAGUGGGGAAUUUUGGACAAUGGGCGCAAGCCUGAUCCAGCCAUUCCGCGUGCAGGAUGAAGGCCUUCGGGUUGUAAACUGCUUUUGUACGGAACGAAACGGUCUGCCCUAAUACGGCGGGCUAAUGACGGUACCGUAAGAAUAAGCACCGGCUAACUACGUG